CUCUGACUGCAAGUCCAGGAGGACCAGGAGUAUAGAAUCAGGGACUCGUGGAGUGGCACAAAAAGCAGUCCUUGGACCACUUACCAUUACUGAUGCGACUUCUUGAAGUUCUCUUAGGGACUGGAUUCAUGUUGCAACUUCACUCCGAAUUGUAUAUUUAUUUGGACUCUUCAAGGCGUAAUGCUCUUUCCUGUUCAGAUUCUAAUGAAGUCAUUAAAGAUGUAACUUUUAUGCUCAUGUCCGUGUCUUUAAUGGUUGACUUUAUUAUUAUUUUUUAAUUUCAUCAUCGCUUGCUCUCAGCCGACGUAUUUGACAUGCUAUCUGUUCAGCAACUUGCUACAGAAUGGGUUUAACCUAGACUUUUAUAGACCGCUGAAUAAUUCUCCAACUAUUUCUAUAAACCCGACUUGAAGGAUAUAUUUCACUACCUGUCCUGGAGUACAAGAAUAUGAUGUCUUAAACGGUGCAGUGAAUUUUUAUAUCUUUGAUUAAAAUUUUUUUUUUUAAUGAGUCCUAUCCUUCAACCUAUGGCUUUUUCACCUUGAUGUUAUCCCUGCACUUGAUCCAGGUAGUUGUAGGCCUUUGAAAUCCCUGACUAUAGUGACCACUAAUUUAUUGGAAAAGCUCAGUAAGAUUUCAUACUGACUGCGAUGUUAACCAGUCUUUAACAGUUUGUUAGCUAAUCGUCUUGCUUUCUUGGAAACAAUGUGGGGUUUGCAAAUUGUCCCUCCUUUGCUCUUUUAGUUUAUAUUACUGGGCAGUAGUUUCCAAACUGGGGGAAAACAUCGGGUUGGUGAUGAAGCCACAACCCCGAACACACAGCCAUGGUAAAUAAGAACCAAGCGAAACAGACCGGACUUGACAUUGUUUUUUUUUAACCACAGCCCCCCCCGAGCGCGUCAGAAGUUGCAAACGGAUCAGCACAUUGGCGUGGGAGACGUGCAGCAUCAGAAAGACACUAAGCGACAAACUGUUUGAAAAACUUCCUGUUAAGUGUUUUUGCACUCUUCCAACUUCAUUUUUAAUUCAAUUUAUUUUGCUUUUCCACUGAAGUUUUAAUGUAAACAAGGUGUUGGUACAUUAUAUUAAAUCACUUUAUAAAGUUUAUGCAGUUCAUUUAAAACAAUGGAACAAUGCUAUUUGGGAGACUGUUUGAGGGCGAUCUCACAAUGUCACAUCCUCAAAGGAAGCUCAGACAAAAAGUUUUAACCACUGGUAAUGUAUUCUUUUACGAUUUUGUUCGUGGAUGACUGUUUUCUCUAAUCCAAAUUGUAAUUAUGGAUGCUGAUACUUUAGUUGCCUAUGCUACACGGUUCAAAUUAAACCGACUUCGAAUAUAAAGGAUUUAUUUUUUGUGGCAGAAAAUCAUACCAUAAUGUAUCAAAUUCUAAUUGAAUCCGUGGUUGCCUUGUGAUUUCUACAAAAUACCAGAGAUCGUGAGUUUAAAUUGAAGUAAACAUUGUGUUAGUAGAAAACUCCACUAAUCUACUGGAAUUAUAAAGGUUAGACAUAUUUUCCAGCUUCUCUGAAAAGACUUCUCGUCCCCCAGACUUGCUAUCCCAUCGAAGUCAAAGCUCUUUUCUGCUUCUCUAGUCCAGAAAUUGCAGAUUCACACGUGUGACAUCGAUACAUUUCAAAUAUGUGUUUUUACAGGAUACUUUAGGUGAGGGGAGAAUUCCUGAUCACUUUAGAGACUACUUCCAAACCAAUUCAGAGGUUGACUUGUAUCUAACUCUGCAAUCUUCAGAUCUCCUCCAAAAGCACCUAUGAGCAGAGGUCAAAUAUCAAUACGAUUUUGGGGAAACAAAUUCUGUAAAAGCUUUUCCCACAUGACCAAAACAUGUUCCUUGAAUAAAACAUCCCAUCAAGUGUUGAACAUUAAUUGCUGGUUUGUAUUUGUCAUGUAAUCCUCUUUUAUGGUUUCUUGCCAUACUCACAAGCCCUUAUUCUGCUUUAUCUCACAAGCAUAUUAUACUCCAACACAUUUACAUGAACAUUCUUUGUAAAGAGUGCUAUUAUUGUCAUCUAUCACAUCGCUUAGAAAUAUUUCAGGUCAUCAUAGCUUAUGAGUAUUCAUUUCAUAUUCUGUAGAAUAUUGUGAUAUUUAAAUAUUGUUUAGGUUUAAAAUAAGCCGAGUAGGUUUUCUGCCUGGGAAUUUAUUUUAUCUUUAGUACGCUUGUUUAUUAAAUUGUGUAAAUAGAUACAACUCUAAAUGUAUCUACACAAACAUUAAAAUCACCCACAAUAAAUACUUAUUUGCCUUCAAGUUAACAACUGAGAAAAUUCCACAAGACAGUCCACAUAUUCCGUACAAAUGGGUGAUUGUGUUUGAUGUGCAGUCAAAUGUACCACAUUACAUUACAUUACAUUUAGCAGACGCUUUUAUCCAAAGCGACUUACAUUACACUUUAAACCCAUGGCUUAUUCACAUUAUUUGCCUGGGGAGCAAUUAGGGGUUAGGUGUCUUGCUCAGGGACACUUCGACAUGGAACAUGGGGCAGCCUGGACUCAAACCACCAACCUUGUGCUUCCCAGCACACCUUCUCUAACCCCUGCGCCACGACGACCCCCCCAUCUAUGAAGAGGGCAGUUUCUGCAGGUGGAAAGUCAGUAGCUGUCCCACCUUGGAACCGUUCCAUCACAGGCCUCCCUUGGUUUAACACAAUGGCCAAUUCCUCUGCUGGGUUGAAACCUGGUGCUGGUGCUGGUGCCCCCCCUAGUGCCAGACAAAUGAGCCUUCUUCUUAACUGCUAAAAUCAGUUUCAAUAAAAUAUGUGGGCAGGCAUCUUGUAAGUAAUUUCUACACCAUUUGCAAACUGUUAAGACCAGCUUGCAAAAUGAUUUUAUAUUUUAUCGUGACCUGUUGGCAGGAUAUUUUUUCUCCAGUCUUGUUUGUUCUGUAUGAACAUUAUUUGUAGAAAGAUAUUUGACAAUGCUUAUAGAGAACUUUCCUGUAAGUAGACAGUUUCAAAUCCUUCCGCAUUCAGUCGGUCUGCAAUUGUUUGCCAGGCCUUUUCUCUGUUUAAUUACAGCUGCAGUUUUGCACAUUAUAUGCUUCACCUCCUCAUAAGUUUCCAUGAUCAGUUGCUGCUCAGCGGGUUAACGAUAUGCAGCGAGCGUCUUCUCCAUUUCUUCUCCAUCUGUGAUCGAUACCGUGUGCACCUGGAUUGAUUUAGCUUCACCUUCUCAUCGUGGCUUGGCAAACGUGCAACCGAUAAAGCUGCGACGAGCGGAUCACACUAAGUCAAGCGGCGCCUUUUCACUUAUCCUGGAUUUUUUAUUGUACUUUUGUGCAAUACCCCCCCGGAAUCAGGAAACAUUUAUUACCAAAAUAUGUCAGACAUACAAGGAAUUUGACUUGGCGAUUGGUGCAGCAGACAGUUAUACAAAGGACAACAAGACAGAUAAGACGACAUAGUGCAAGAGGUAUAAAAUAAAAUACAAUGCUAUGGGUUAGUAUAUAAGGAUAUGUGUUAGUUUAAAAAUAAAGGAAUAAUAGUUUUAAAAAAAAAGAACAGAAAGUGACACGGGAAAGGGACAAGUGUAUGUGCAUGUGGAGUGUGAAGGGAGUGACCGGUGGGAUGACUGAGUCAGUCAGUGGGAGACCCGGCUCUGUUGAUGAGCCCGACUGCUCACGUUGUUGUGUCAGUUGUUGGUUGUUAUAGAUAGUGGUAAGUAGUUUCAGGUUGUUUAGUUACGUUGCACUAUGAAACAUUUUAAGAUUGUUUUAUGCAUAAAGAGAAAAUCUUUCCACAAAACCUGCUCACGUGCAGCUGAUCAAGCUCCAUCUAAGUGAAACACAUCUCUGUAAUGAGCUGCAAUCGGUCCGAUGGCCUCUGCACCUGAGACUGUUGACACACACCAGGUGAAAGAGGUUUUCUUGAUCAAUGUUCCCUGUUACAAGGAAUAAAAACCCCUCACAGUGCCAGGAGCAAGCAUCCAGUCAUGAUGGCUUUCUUUUGGCAA
ensembl:lncRNA